rnacentral:rRNA from 1 species
AUUGAACGCUGGCGGAAUGCUUUACACAUGCAAGUCGAGCGGCAGCGCGGGGCAACCUGGCGGCGAGCGGCGAACGGGUGAGUAAUGCAUCGGAACAUGUCCAGUCGUGGGGGAUAGCCCGGCGAAAGCCGGAUUAAUACCGCAUACGCCCGCAAGGGGAAAGUGGGGGACCGCAAGGCCUCACGCGAAUGGGUUGGCCGAUGUCCGAUUAGCUAGUUGGCGGGGUAAAGGCCCACCAAGGCGAUGAUCGGUAGCUGGUCUGAGAGGAUGAUCGGCCACACUGGAACUGAGACACGGUCCAGACUCCUACGGGAGGCAGCAGUGGGGAAUUUUGGACAAUGGGGGAAACCCUGAUCCAGCCAUUCCGCGUGAGUGAAGAAGGCCUUCGGGUUGUAAAGCUCUUUUGUCCGGAACGAAACGGUUGGCGUGAAUAUCGCCGACUACUGACGGUACCGGAAGAAUAAGCACCGGCUAACUACGCGCCAGCCGCCGCCGUAA